ensembl:snoRNA
GAAGCAAUGAUGAUUUUCUAACACGCCGUCUGAUUGCCUGUGCUGAAUACAGAGGCUGUUUCUGAGCUU